CAUGGAGGGUGAGAAUCCCGUCCGGUUGAUCAUUUGCGUUUUAUGAUACGCUUUCUAAGAGUCAAGUUGUUUGGGAUUGCAGCUUAAAAUGGGAGGUAAAUUUCUCCUAAGGCUAAAUAACGGCGAGAGACCGAUAGCGAACAAGUACCGUGAGGGAAAGAUGAAAAGAACUUUGAAAAGAGAGUUAAACAGUACGUGAAAUUGUCGAAAGGGAAACGAUUGAAGCCAGUCGUACCUUCGGGUAAUCAGCCUUUUCGGGUGCGAUUCUGUGGGGUUUGAUGAGCUUAACACCUUCAUGCUCUGCAUAUUCGUGCUCUUGGGUGUACUUGCCCGUGUGGUUGGUUAACAUCAAUUUUGGUGGUCAUAAAAUGACUGGAGGAAUGUAGCUUCGAUCUUGUAUUGAAGUGUUAUAGCCUUCGGUAGAUGUGAUGAUCGAGAUUGAGGAUUGCAACGGAUACCCUUCGGGGCUACCUGUCUGAUCUCUGAUCGUUGCUCUGGUGCCGAAAGCUUGCUUACGGUUAUCAAAGUCGAUGGUCAAUAGGUUAGAAUGGGUUAAAUUCGUUAAGGAUGUUGACGUAAUG
rnacentral:rRNA from 1 species